GGUUGACUAUGCAGGGACACAAACGGUCCCUGCCAAGAGCAGAUGGAAUGUGGAGCUCACAACACGUGCACGUGACCGUCUCUGCGAAGGCUGCAUGGACCGGAAUGAGCCGCGGGAUCCAGAAAAUGAAGUGGUCCUCAUUUGCAGGCAAGGGAGCGGGCAUGGGGCUGGUGCCAACAUGCAGUUGGUGAGACACAGGAAUUGAACUCAGGACCUUGCGCUUGCCAGGCACAGAGCCACCAAGCUAAAUCCCCGGCCCUUGAGGAGCCUCAGUCAUAGACAUCACUUCAACUCAAACACUUGCUGAGCAUCUGGAGCGCGGAUGAAAAGCUCACCUGGAUCCUGCCCUGGGAGCUUCACAGGAUCCUGCAGUGCCUCAGUUUCCUCUUCUGUAAAGUUCAGAUACUAAUAACACCUGCUACGAACAGUUGCCAUGGAGAUUCCGUGAGAUCUAUUCAUUCAACAGCUAUUUAUUGAAGGCUUACCAACUUCCAAACAGGUCUUGCCAAAUUGCUGGAACUCGUAGUCCUCCUGCUUCAUCGGCUCAGAGUGCUGGGAUUACAGGCUGUGUCACCAUACCCAGCUAGGUAGAACAUUUAAAUCACCCUGAUGCUGGCAAUGGAGAAACGAAGUGAAGAUAACCAUGAAGCCAAAGACCUCGUGCCUGGGGAAUGCUUUAUGAGUAAACAGGGGAGGAACCGAGACAUUUCUCCUGGGUAAGCUCUCUGCACCCAUUUCCUCUCCCGCUGGACACAAAAUGGUUCUACACUUCCAGCCUCCUCUGCUGGCCAAGCAAGGCCUUCUUGGGAGACAGAGCAUCAAAGUGGGCCCAGUUCUCUACCCCUUCCUGCUGCAGCCCCUUUACAAUGAGACUUUGCUCUAGCUCCUUCCCCAGAUAGGGGUGCCCUUGGCACUCUCUUUGGUCAAUAGAAUGUGGCUGAAGCAACCUUGUAUUAGUUCUGAGCCCAGGUCUCCCUCUCUCUCUCCCU
ensembl:lncRNA